rnacentral:rRNA from 1 species
AACGAACGCUGGCGGCAGGCCUAACACAUGCAAGUCGAACGCUCCAGCAAUGGAGAGUGGCAGACGGGUGAGUAACGCGUGGGAACCUUCCCUAUGGUUCGGAAUAGCCCAGGGAAACUUGGGGUAAUACCGAAUAAGCCCUUCGGGGGAAAGAUUUAUCGCCAUUGGAUGGGCCCGCGUCGGAUUAGCUAGUUGGUGGGGUAACGGCCUACCAAGGCGACGAUCCGUAGCUGGUCUGAGAGGAUGAUCAGCCACACUGGGACUGAGACACGGCCCAGACUCCUACGGGAGGCAGCAGUGGGGAAUAUUGGACAAUGGGCGCAAGCUUGAUCCAGCCAUGCCGCGUGAGUGACGAAGGCCUUAGGGUUGUAAAGCUCUUUUGGCGGGGAAGAUAAUGACGGUACCCGCAGAAUAAGCUCCGGCUAACUUCGUGCCAGCCGCCGCCGUAAUAC